rnacentral:rRNA from 1 species
AUUGAACGCUGGCGGCAGGCUUAACACAUGCAAGUCGAGCGGGGAAGAGUAGCUUGCUACUUAACCUAGCGGCGGACGGGUGAGUAAUGCUUAGGAAUCUGCCUAUUAGUGGGGGACAACAUCUCGAAAGGGAUGCUAAUACCGCAUACGUCCUACGGGAGAAAGCAGGGGACCUUCGGGCCUUGCGCUAAUAGAUGAGCCUAAGUCGGAUUAGCUAGUUGGUGGGGUAAAGGCCUACCAAGGCGACGAUCUGUAGCGGGUCUGAGAGGAUGAGCCGCCACACUGGGACUGAGACACGGCUCAGACUCCUACGGGAGGCAGCAGUGGGGAAUAUUGGACAAUGGGGGGAACCCUGAUCCAGCCAUGCCGCGUGUGUGAAGAAGGCCUUUUGGUUGUAAAGCACUUUAAGCGAGGAGGAGGCUACCGAGAUUAAUACUCUUGGAUAGUGGACGUUACUCGCAGAAUAAGCACCGGCUAACUCUGUGCCAGCAGCCGCAGUAAGAC